rnacentral:rRNA from 1 species
AGAAUCAACGCUGGCGGCGUGCCUAACACAUGCAAGUCGAACGAGAAAGUGGAGCAAUCCAUGAGUAAAGUGGCGCACGGGUGAGCAACACGUGACUAACCUACCUUUUAGUGGGGGAUAACCUAGGGAAACCUGGGCUAAUACCGCAUAAUACCUACGGGUCAAAGCAGCAAUGCGCUGGAAGAGGGGGUCGCGGUCGAUUAGUUAGUUGGCAGGGUAAUGGCCUACCAAGACUGUGAUCGAUA